CAAGAUUUAGUUUAUAGAAAAUAUUUUAUUUACAUUAAAUUGAUUUAGAGUGCGAUCUUUAAUUCUUGA
rnacentral:tRNA from 1 species